rnacentral:rRNA from 1 species
AUUGAACGCUGGCGGCAGGCCUAACACAUGCAAGUCGAGCGGAUGAAGGGAGCUUGCUCCUGGAUUCAGCGGCGGACGGGUGAGUAAUGCCUAGGAAUCUGCCUGGUAGUGGGGGAUAACGUCCGGAAACGGGCGCUAAUACCGCAUACGUCCUGAGGGAGAAAGUGGGGGAUCUUCGGACCUCACGCUAUCAGAUGAGCCUAGGUCGGAUUGGCUAGUUGGUGGGGUAAAGGCCUACCAAGGCGACGAUCCGUAACUGGUCUGAGAGGAUGGUCGGCCACACUGGAAGUGGGACACGGUCAAGACUCCUACGGGAGGCAGCAGUGGGGAAUAUUGGACAAUGGUGGAAAGCCUGAUCCAGCGAUGCCGCGCGUGAGAAGAAGGUCUUCGGAUUGUAAAGCCCUUUAAGUUGGGGGGAAGGGCAGUAAGUUAAGACCUAGCGGUUUUGACGUUACCAACAGAAUAAGCACCGGCUAACUACGUG